CGCUACAGUUUGUGUCAGUGAAAGGGGAGAUAUUUACCUUCUGUCCGAGUAUCAUGCAAAAAAGCUUGCAUCAAAACAGCUAAACCUGAAGAAAGUUCUUGUUUCAGGGGGCUUUUUGGAACAUAAGGCAGCUCCUGAGCAUCUUAAAGAGAAUGGUGGCCAGCCUGCAAGUGUUUUUGCUUUGGAUCAAGCUGGAAGGGUUUUUUGCUGGAAGUCACCUGGCAGUUCACUGAAACAGUGCUGGUGGGUUUAUGGUCGCCAAUUAUUUAUGUCUGAUGUUGCUUUA